rnacentral:lncRNA from 1 species
AUGGGUGCGAUGGGACCCCGGGGGUGCGGAGGGCACGGGGUCGGGGGGUCCAGGGUCCUGAGGCCAGGGGACCGGGCAAGGGCAUGGGGUCGGGGAUCACGGAGUGCGGGAGUCGCAGCCCGCAGGAUCGGGGUCCGCAGGCGGCGGCCGCAAAGCUCGGUUCACCUUGAUGAGCGGAGAGACCUGCACCGGCGGCACCAUCUUGUCCGUGACCUCGCACCGGAAGCACAGCCCCUCGACGGAAGUCACGCGGAGGGCUGUGGGUGGACAGGCGCAUGCGCCACAGUGGAAGACGGGGGAGGGGGCGGCCACCCCAGGGAUGACGUCAGGGGUGCGGUGCAUGCGCAGAAGGGCUUCGAUUACGCACGCGCGGCGGCCAGGCCCAGGUGUGGGCGUGUGGAGUGGCAACCCGGGCUGCACCUGUCCGCGUACCCGCUGCGUGCGAGUCACGGCACGAGCGGCGAAGACGCCCCACGGUCUGCUGGGGGGUCCCGGGGUCCGGGCGGGAGGCCCACCCGCCGUGUGUGCGCCCGGCCGGGCGAGGGGACUACGGUCUCCCCGGGGAAGCCGCCCGUCUGUGCCACCCGCGGUCGUCCCCGCACCCGCGGCGGGGCCCCGCGCUGCCCGGCCCGUCCACGGGACCUGGUGAAUACGAAUCAGCCCCGGAGCGCCGCGGGUGCCCCGCCGUCCGCGGCGGCCAGCCGCGGCCCCCGCCCCGAGCCUGGCCCCAAGCCCUCCUGGUCGCCCCCCGCCCUCAGCCUGACCCCGCUCUGUGGACACAGGCCGACCCCCACCCCCACAGACAGCUCAGCUGUGUCCGUUUGCCUGCACCUUAGAAGCAGCCUCGGCUGGAGAGGAGCCGGGUUUGAGUCAGAAAUUAGUGUGGGGCGCGGGGGUGGGGGGGCACAGGAGGACCCAAGGUCGGGGGCUCAGGAUGCCAGGGCCUGCGGGAGCCCGCCGCACCUGUGGGAAUGGCCGGGUGGGCUCCCACCCUCUCGGGCUCAUGGGGAGGCGGGGGUCGCCAGCCCCUCUCCCCUGAGUGACCACAAGCCGCGCGGAUGCCCGUCCAGGGCUGCCCUUGUUACGGCUGCUGCUGACUCUAAUUCGAAAUUAAAAAGCUGUGUGGGGGCCAGCGCCGCGGCUCACUAG